GAUGAACGCUGACAGAAUGCUUAACACAUGCAAGUCUACUUGAACUUCGGUUUGGGUGGCGGACGGGUGAGUAACGCGUAAAGAACUUGCCUCACAGUUAGGGACAACAUUUGGAAACGAAUGCUAAUACCUGAUAUUAUGAUUUUAGGGCAUCCUAGGAUUAUGAAAACUAUAUGUGCUGUGAGAGAGCUUUGCGUCCCAUUAGCUAGUUGGAGAGGUAACGGCUCACCAAGGCGAUGAUGGGUAGCCGGCCUGAGAGGGUGAACGGCCACAAGGGGACUGAGACACGGCCCUUACUCCUACGGGAGGCAGCAGUGGGGAAUAUUGGACAAUGGACCAAAAGUCUGAUCCAGCAAUUCUGUGUGCACGAUGACGUUUUUCGGAAUGUAAAGUGCUUUCAGUUGGGAAGAAAAAAAUGACGGUACCAACAGAAGAAG
rnacentral:rRNA from 1 species